rnacentral:rRNA from 1 species
AUUGAACGCUGGCGGCAUGCCUUACACAUGCAAGUCGAACGGUAACAGGCCGCAAGGUGCUGACGAGUGGCGAACGGGUGAGUAAUGCAUCGGAACGUGCCCAGUAGUGGGGGAUAGCCCGGCGAAAGCCGGAUUAAUACCGCAUACGACCUGAGGGUGAAAGGGGGGGAUCGCAAGACCUCUCGCUAUUGGAGCGGCCGAUGUCAGAUUAGCUAGUUGGUGGGGUAAAGGCCUACCAAGGCAACGAUCUGUAGUUGGUCUGAGAGGACGACCAGCCACACUGGGACUGAGACACGGCCCAGACUCCUACGGGAGGCAGCAGUGGGGAAUUUUGGACAAUGGGCGCAAGCCUGAUCCAGCAAUGCCGCGUGCAGGAAGAAGGCCUUCGGGUUGUAAACUGCUUUUGUACGGAACGAAACGGUCCGGGUUAAUACCCUGGGCUAAUGACGGUACCGUAAGAAUAAGCACCGGCUAACUACGUGCCAGCCGCCGCCGUAAAAC